rnacentral:misc_RNA from 1 species
AUCAGAUUUUGGAUCAUAUGAUAGAGAAAGGGUGUAUGCCUAAUCAACUGAUUUACUUGCACAUAAUGUUGGCCCAUGAAAAGAAAGAAGAGUUGGAAGAGUGUAUGGAAUUGAAGGGGAAAAUGCAGAAGGUAGGCUGUGUUCCUGAUCUCAGCAUUUUCAAUGUAGUGAUUAGGUUGGCCUGCAAGCUGGGGGAAGUCAAUGAUGGCAUUCGAGUUUGGAAUGAAAUGGAAGCAAAUGGCUUUAGUCCAGGGAUUGACUCUUUUCUUAUUUUGACUCAUGGGCUUCUUGGGCAGGGUUGUUUGGUUGAGGCUUGUGAGUAUUUUAAAGAAAUGGUUGGGAGAGGCCUUUUAUAUACUCCUCAAUAUGGAAUCUUGAAGGAGUUGUUGAAUGCUCUGCUGAGAGGUGAGAAGCUUGAAAUGGCUAAAGAUGUCUGGAGUUGCAUUGUUACCAAAGGAUGUGAACUUAAUUCGGAUGCUUGGACAAUUUGGAUUCAUGCACUGUUUUCAAAUGGACAUGUGAAAGAGGCUUGUUCAUAUUGUUUGGAUAUGAUGGAUGCAGGUGUAAUGCCAAAGCCAGAAACUUUUGCUAAGCUCAUGCGUGGUUUAAGGAAAUUGUAUAACAGGCAGUUUGCAGUAGAGAUCACAGAAAAGGUGAGAAAUAUGGCUGCAGAUAGACAGACAAGUUUCAAAAGUUAUAAACGACGAGGGGAGAGGGAUUUAAAAGAAAAGGUUAAGGCAAAAAAGGAUGGGAGAAAGAGGAGGGCUCGUAGACGCCAGUGGGGCAGGACCCGUAGUAGGGCUAGCAUUUAGUUUUAAUAACUAGAUGUGUUUGAUUUUGAGCUAAGAUUGUUUGGAUGAGACUGUUUCCAUCGUGUCCACUUGCCAAGAUUGGACAUGGAGGUGCUUUCUCUAUUAAGUAAUCUUCUUAUAUUUCUUUUUGCCUUCUCUUUUUUUUUUUUUUUUUUUCCUUC